rfam:Capsicum annuum cultivar Zunla-1 chromosome 5, whole genome shotgun sequence
UAUUAGAGAUGGAAGCAAUCUCUAAGAUGAGACUUGAAUCUCUCCCAUGCAUGAUAGAAAUUUUCAUCUGAUUUUUUCUUAAAAUAGAGGAUUUUGCUUCUUAACCU